rnacentral:lncRNA from 1 species
UUCUUUAAAAGGAUCCAGCAGGAGAAUAUUGACAUCCAACUUUCUAAAUUCUGCUUCUGAAAGAGCCUGAAGGCAGAAAGGGCAAAGCACUCUGUUCCCAGCAUUCUAUUCCUUCUCUUCGUGGUUAGCCAGCCACUGGGUGAGCCUGCCCCUUCAGUGCAGAGCAGCAGAGGAGCCCAGCAGCUUGGGUACCCCCCACCCCACCCCUGUGAACAGAAGAAAGAGGGCCUCUCCAAGAGUCUUAGAUGA